rnacentral:miRNA from 1 species
CAUCUCUAGGUUGAUGCAAAAGUAAUUGCGGUUUUUGCCAUUUCUUUCAAUGGCAAAAACCGCAAUUACUUUUGCACCAAC